rnacentral:rRNA from 1 species
UACAGAGGGUGCGAGCGUUGUCCGGAAUCACUGGGCGUAAAGGGCGCGUAGGCGGUCUGGUAAGCAUGUGGUGAAAGCUCGGGGCUCAACCCCGAGUCGGCCGUGCGAACUGCGAGACUGGAGCAGAUCAGAGGCAGGCGGAAUUCCGGGUGUAGCGGUGGAAUGCGUAGAGAUCCGGAAGAACACCGGUGGCGAAGGCGGCCUGCUGGGAUCUUGCUGACGCUGAGGCGCGACAGCGUGGGGAAGCAAACAGG